UUCACCAUUGUAUGUAGUGCGUGAAUCCUAUGUAGGUUCUACGACGGUCCAUUGUGACAGAGAUAAAUAAAGAAUGAAAGGUAUUUUACAAAAUUUACAGUUCUUCAAAAUGAGCUUUCCGUGUGAUUUUGCUUAGAACCAACUCUGGCCCCUAGCCCCCCAAAUUUUAGCGUACCCCAAAAUCGUUUGACGUGCAGUACGUGCACAAGGAGACCAUAGAUAUGGUGUUCUCUGCAAAUUUUUGAAUGGAUUGAACAGAUAGAUUCUGAGAUAUCGCUGUACACAGAUUUGGGGGACGCAUGACGGACGGACACACAUUUUUCAAGUACGGUUAUUUUGACUCCUGGGACCUUAAAACGUCUAGAAAUGAUGAAAUUUCAACUUUUUUUUCUUGGAGGAUGACAAUACUUCCUCAGAGACAAGAGACCCUCCACUAGUAUCUUGGCCAUUGUGGAAGCUUUUACUUUCGGGACUUCAGCAUUCUACUGUUGACUUACCUACAUGGUUCUUGUUUAACAAAUGUGUUGGCAGUUUUGUUUUGCAAACAAGCCGAAAAUGGCCGACGUUUGGGAAACUUGUUUGGCUCAUGACGUCACCCGAAGCUCAUCAUCGACCAUGUAGGUAGGCCAACAGCCGAUAUUAGGGUGAUGACUGUUGCUCCCUUAUAAUUGUACAUAAGGAGUUGUUGAAACCCCGAAAGGAAGAGCUUCCACCUGUCGCUAGGAGGCCAGUGGAGGGUCUCUUGUCUCUGUACUUUCUCUACCGUAGGGGAGCGAGAAAGUAAAAAAAACAUUUUUGGAAAGGUUAAGUUUUAAAUGGUUGUGUCCCUUUGUUGCAGGUUUCUACUCGGUGAUCGCGCCAAAAGUUCUUCGGCCGAACACGGAAUACCAUGUGGCGGUGUCCGUGGAGGACGCCUCUCAACCGACGUCGGUCAUCGUCCAAGUUGGCGGGAAGCAGGACAGCGGCGGCACUUUCCGUACCUCCGAGUACGUCACCCUCGCCCCCUACGCCUCUCAGAUCGUCAAACUAGAGAUCGGAGACGUGGGCCCGGGGAUGUACAAUCUAACGGUGCAAGGUUCUGGUGGGCUGAGCUUCGAGACACGACCGAGCUGGAGUACGUGCACAAAAGCUACUCGGUCUUCAUCCAGACGGACAAAGCCAUCUACAAGCCCGGACACAAAGUCCAGUUCCGCUCAUCGUCCCCAACUCCCAUCUCAAGCCCGUUGUCACCGGAGCCCUCGAUAUUUUCAUCACGGUAUUGUCCAACCGGCAAUAUUUUUCUCCAUUUAAACCUAUGGAAAUGUAUCGAUUUUUUGAGGGGCCCAGGUGCUCCGACGAGAAUCGAUUAUUUAACAUAGGUUUAAAUGGAGGGAAUCCGUUGUUGUUCAAAUUUUUGGAUCCGCCCUGGGUCCAAGUUCCUCAAUUCUCACCCUUUCGGCCAAAUAUCAACAAGCGCCAUACCAUGUUUCAAAUUUCCGCCGCCAUUUUUUACAGAGAAAUGUCAACGAAGCUGUUCGAAAAUUUCUCGGAAUUUUCUUUGUACUGCUGAUAAAAUUU
rnacentral:lncRNA from 1 species